UCCCAUGUGGCUCAGUGGGUAGAGCAUGGCACUUGCAAUACCAGGGUUGUGGGUGCGAUUCUCUUCGGGGAC
rnacentral:tRNA from 1 species